rnacentral:misc_RNA from 1 species
AAGUCGUAACAAGGUUUCCGUAGGUGAACCUGCGGAAGGAUCAUUAACUCAAUAUAUGCGUGGUUGCUUCUCACGAAGUGGCCAGGCAUCAUAUUAACAAAACCAAAUUAACAAUCCGUGAAACUAUACCAAAAACCAAAAUGAAUGGGUUCGCGUGUCAUUACUUCGUUUGAAUGCACGUACUCAGCCAAUACCAAUUCCACCAAAUUUUUAACCAUAUUAACCCAUUACUGUAGCGAUCUUCCACAAAUGAUUUUGUGUUGGAGCGUACUAAAACAAAAGCAUGUUAUUACUUCAAUGAAUGCAUGCACCAAUUUAUUCUAAAACAGAGAAAUACAACUCUUAACAAUGGAUAUCUUGGCUCUCGUAACGAUGGAGAACGCAGC